rnacentral:rRNA from 1 species
CGGUUAAGUUAGAAAGGGCGCACGGUGGAUGCCUUGGCACUAGGAGCCGAUGAAGGACGGGACGAACACCGAUAUGCUUCGGGGAGCUGUAAGCAAGCUUUGAUCCGGAGAUUUCCGAAUGGGGAAACCCACCACUCGUAAUGGAGUGGUAUCCAUAUCUGAAUACAUAGGAUAUGAGAAGGCAGACCCGGGGAACUGAAACAUCUAAGUACCCGGAGGAAGAGAAAGCAAAUGCGAUUCCCUGAGUAGCGGCGAGCGAAACGGGACCAGCCCAAACCAAGAGGCUUGCCUCUUGGGGUUGUAGGACACUCUGUACGGAGUUACAAAGGAACGAGGUAGAUGAAGAGGUCUGGAAAGGCCCGCCAUAGAAGGUAACAGCCCUGUAGUCAAAACUUCGUUCUCUCCUGAGUGGAUCCUGAGUACGGCGGAACACGUGAAAUUCCGUCGGAAUCCGGGAGGACCAUCUCCCAAGGCUAAAUACUCCCUAGUGACCGAUAGUGAACCAGUACCGUGAGGGAAAGGUGAAAAGCACCCCGGAAGGGGAGUGAAAGAGAUCCUGAAACCGUGUGCCUACAAGUAGUCAGAGCCCGUUAAUGGGUGAUGGCGUGCCUUUUGUAGAAUGAACCGGCGAGUUACGAUCCCGUGCAAGGUUAAGCAGAAGAUGCGGAGCCGCAGCGAAAGCGAGUCUGAAUAGGGCGAAUUGAGUACGUGGUCGUAGACCCGAAACCAGGUGAUCUACCCAUGUCCAGGGUGAAGUUCAGGUAACACUGAAUGGAGGCCCGAACCCACGCACGUUGAAAAGUGCGGGGAUGAGGUGUGGGUAGGGGUGAAAUGCCAAUCGAACCUGGAGAUAGCUGGUUCUCUCCGAAAUAGCUUUAGGGCUAGCCUCAAGGUAAGAGUCUCGGAGGUAGAGCACUGAUUGGACUAGGGGCCCCUACCGGGUUACCGAAUUCAGUCAAACUCCGAAUGCCGAUGACUUAUCCUUGGGAGUCAGACUGCGAGUGAUAAGAUCCGUAGUCGAAAGGGAAACAGCCCAGACCGCCAGCUAAGGUCCCAAAGUAUACGUUAAGUGGAAAAGGAUGUGGAGUUGCUUAGACAACCAGGAUGUUGGCUUAGAAGCAGCCACCAUUUAAAGAGUGCGUAAUAGCUCACUGGUCGAGUGACUCUGCGCCGAAAAUGUACCGGGGCUAAACGUAUCACCGAAGCUGCGGACUGUUCUUCGAACAGUGGUAGGAGAGCGUUCUAAGGGCUGUGAAGCAAGACCGGAAGGACUUGUGGAGCGCUUAGAAGUGAGAAUGCCGGUAUGAGUAGCGAAAGAGGGGUGAGAAUCCCCUCCACCGAAUGCCUAAGGUUUCCUGAGGAAGGCUCGUCCGCUCAGGGUUAGUCGGGACCUAAGCCGAGGCCGAAAGGCGUAGGCGAUGGAUAACAGGUUGAUAUUCCUGUACCACCUCCUCACCAUUUGAGCAAUGGGGGACGCAGGAGGAUAGGGUAAGCGCGGUAUUGGAUAUCCGCGUCCAAGCAGUUAGGCUGGGAAAUAGGCAAAUCCGUUUCCCGUGAAGGCUGAGCUGUGAUGGCGAGCGAAUUAUAGUAGCGAAGUUCCUGAUUCCACACUGCCAAGAAAAGCCUCUAGCGAGGUGAGAGGUGCCCGUACCGCAAACCGACACAGGUAGGCGAGGAGAGAAUCCUAAGGUGAUCGAGAGAACUCUCGUUAAGGAACUCGGCAAAAUGACCCCGUAACUUCGGGAGAAGGGGUGCUCUGUUAGGGUGCAAGCCCGAGAGAGCCGCAGUGAAUAGGCCCAGGCGACUGUUUAGCAAAAACACAGGUCUCUGCGAAGCCGUAAGGCGAAGUAUAGGGGCUGACGCCUGCCCGGUGCUGGAAGGUUAAGAGGAGCGCUUAGCGUAAGCGAAGGUGCGAAUUGAAGCCCCAGUAAACGGCGGCCGUAACUAUAACGGUCCUAAGGUAGCGAAAUUCCUUGUCGGGUAAGUUCCGACCCGCACGAAAGGCGCAACGAUCUGGGCACUGUCUCAACGAGAGACUCGGUGAAAUUAUAGUACCUGUGAAGAUGCAGGUUACCCGCGACAGGACGGAAAGACCCCGUGGAGCUUUACUGCAGCCUGAUAUUGAAUGUUGGUACAGCUUGUACAGGAUAGGUAGGAGCCUUGGAAACCGGAGCGCCAGCUUCGGUGGAGGCAUCGGUGGGAUACUACCCUGGCUGUAUUGACCUUCUAACCCGCCGCCCUUAUCGGGCAGGGAGACAGUGUCAGGUGGGCAGUUUGACUGGGGCGGUCGCCUCCUAAAAGGUAACGGAGGCGCCCAAAGGUUCCCUCAGAAUGGUUGGAAAUCAUUCGCAGAGUGUAAAGGCACAAGGGAGCUUGACUGCGAGACCUACAAGUCGAGCAGGGACGAAAGUCGGGCUUAGUGAUCCGGUGGUUCCGCAUGGAAGGGCCAUCGCUCAACGGAUAAAAGCUACCCCGGGGAUAACAGGCUUAUCUCCCCCAAGAGUCCACAUCGACGGGGAGGUUUGGCACCUCGAUGUCGGCUCAUCGCAUCCUGGGGCUGUAGUCGGUCCCAAGGGUUGGGCUGUUCGCCCAUUAAAGCGGUACGCGAGCUGGGUUCAGAACGUCGUGAGACAGUUCGGUCCCUAUCCGUCGCGGGCGCAGGAAAUUUGAGAGGAGCUGUCCUUAGUACGAGAGGACCGGGAUGGACGCACCGCUGGUGUACCAGUUGUUCUGCCAAGGGCAUCGCUGGGUAGCUAUGUGCGGACGGGAUAAGUGCUGAAAGCAUCUAAGCAUGAAGCCCCCCUCAAGAUGAGAUUUCCCAUUCCGCAAGGAAGUAAGAUCCCUGAAAGAUGAUCAGGUUGAUAGGUCUGAGGUGGAAGUGUGGCGACACAUGGAGCUGACAGAUACUAAUCGAUCGAGGACUUAACCAAUUU